rnacentral:rRNA from 1 species
AUGUCCCCCAACCUGGAGGGCACGCUCAAGAGCCAGGUGCCGGCGCUGCUCCUCCGGCGCCUCUUCGGCGCCGGGGCGCGCCGGGAUGAGGCGGCAGCCAAGCAGCACCACGGCCGCCAGGCGCCUUCGCCUUCGCCGCCUGCGCCGGCGGGGAGGCGGCGGGUGUUCGUGCAGACGGAGUCCGGGUGCGUGCUGGGCAUGGACCUGGACCGCGGCGACAACGCGCACACCGUCAAGCGCCGGCUGCAGCUGGCCCUCAACGUGCCCACCGGCGGGACCUCGCUCACCUUCGGCGACCGCGUCCUGGAGAACGACCUCUCCUCCGUCCGCCACGACUCGCCGCUGCUGCUCACCCGCAACAGCAUCCACCGCAGCUGCUCCACCCCGUGCCUCUGCCCGGUCUCCGAGGACUUCGAGCAGAAGGACUGCAGCGGACUGGUUGAGAUACUGGGGUCGUCGAGCGGCAGCGUGAGGCGCCUCGUCGACGACGUGGCCUCCGGCAUAAUGGGCGGGCUGGAUCCGGUCCCCAUUGACAGUGGCCUUGGCGGCUCCUACUACUUCAGGAAUGAUGAGGGCGACAGAGUCGCCAUUGUCAAGCCGACGGAUGAGGAGCCCUUCGCCCCGAACAACCCAAAAGGGUUCACCGGGAGAGCGCUUGGCCAGCCGGGACUGAAGAAGUCCGUCAGGGUAGGGGAGACAGGGUUCAGGGAGGUUGCGGCGUACCUGUUGGACCAUGAAAACUUCGCAAAUGUUCCUGCAACGGCUCUGGUGAAGAUAACACACUCGGUUUUCAAUAUCAAUCGCCCAAUGAACGGCGGCACUCCGGCUCAUGACCAUAAGCCGCAAGUCACCAGUAAGAUUGCUUCAUUUCAGCAGUUCAUCGCUCAUGACUUCGAUGCCAGUGACCACGGCACUUCGAGCUUCCCGGUUGCUGCUGUUCACAGGAUCGGCAUAUUAGACAUCAGGAUUUUCAACACUGACAGGCAUGGUGGUAAUGUCCUGGUGAGGAAGCUUGAUGGAGGCACCGGCCGCUUUGGUUGCCAGACAGAGCUGUUCCCAAUUGAUCAUGGGCUGUGCUUGCCGGAGAACUUGGAGGACCCUUAUUUCGAGUGGAUACACUGGGCGCAGGCGUCAAUUCCGUUCUCCGAGGAAGAGCUCGAGUACAUAAGCAAACUUGAUCCGAUGAGGGAUGCUGCAAUGCUGCGGGGAGAACUGCCCAUGAUACGGGAGGCUUGCCUCCGAGUCCUUAUCCUGUGCACAAUCUUCCUCAAGGAAGCUGCUGCUUUCGGGCUUUGCUUGGCAGAGAUAGGGGAGAUGAUGACCAGGGAAUUCAGAGGAAUGGAGGAGGAACCCAGCAAACUGGAGGUUGUGUGCAUGGAAGCCAGGAGGAAAGUAGACGAAUGGGAACCCUUCUCCCCUAGUGUUGAAGAGGACAUGGAUUUCCAGUUCUCGAUGGAUGUGUUAGGAGGGUACAGUGAUGUGAUUCGAUCGCCAAGAUUCAAUUGCUCGGGCCUGAAGGGCAGCUUCAGAAAUCCUCUGACAAAGCUCGUGGAGAGCAUGAACGAGGACGGUGAUGAUGAAGAAGAUCGCAAGGAGCCUUCCAUGCACUCAUCUGAUCGGUUCUCAUCCGCUGACUUCAGCACGCCCAGUCUUCACAGAACCACCAGUUCAAAAACUAGUUCGAACAGCAGCGUGCACGCCCCGAACAGGAGCGCAGACGAGCAGCUCCCAUCGAGCUUGUGCUUUUUCAGGUUGUCGGACAUGAGCGCAGAGGAGUGGCACGUCUUCGUCGAGAAGUUCCAGGAGCUGCUGAAAGAAGCGCUGGAGGAAUGCAAGGCGGCCGGGGGGCAGCGGAUGAAGCAACGGCUGGGCACCUCCUGCAAAUUUUGA